rnacentral:lncRNA from 1 species
UCGUCGUCACUUCAAAGGUUCAUCUGCGUUACCGCCCAUCUUUCGAUAACUCGUUAAUUGGUUCAAUAUCUGGCAUGGAAGUUGAUUCUCCGCAUGUGAUCGAUCAAAUCACUGACACUUAUCGGUCAUUUUCGUGUUCACGGAGAAUUACGAACAGACAAGUUUUUGUCGUAUAUACGUGCGAAGUUACCCAAAUAGUCCAUUCGUUACAUUCCGUUGAUGUACGCUGCCGAAUAGAGUCAUUCGUUCAAUUUUUAUUUUAGUCCAUUUUUUUCCUAUUUUUGGUUAGUUUGAUCUUAAUAGUUUAAACCGACAGCUAUCACAUACGAAAUUGGAGAACAAGGCUGGGUCACUUUCAAUUUUGAUAUUUAUAGACAGUUAAAAAACCAUUUCCGUAAGUUAAGAAGAUGAUUGUUAAAAAAAUACGUUUGGACCCCCUUUAUUAAAUACGAAAAAUCUAAGUCUUUCGUGUAUUAGUCAAUUAAAAUAUUCACAAUUCUAAACGGUUCUAUCCUUCAAUUUAAGUUCUUGAUACAUAAACUAA